rnacentral:lncRNA from 1 species
AACAAAAGAUGCAAAGAUCAGCCAGAACAGCUGAGUAAGCAGAACCAAACUAACAAAAUUGCCUUCUUCCAAGGUAAAAAGCAUUCUGUAGCUUGACUGUUGCCAGUUCCUUAGCUGGGUCUGGGCUAUACCCACAGCGGAUCACCUUGCUUGAAGAAGUUUUCAUGGAAAGACCAGCCAAUACGCACCAAAGACUUUAGGGUGAGUUUAGUCUUUUUCAAUGGCCCCAUGCACAUCUUCUGCAAUCUUCGUCACACAACAAGAGGUGACUGGUCUCUCAAGGACUGCAUGAUUCGUGGUAGUGUUUGUUUAAUUGAAUGUAGCUCCUCUUUUACUGCCUGAGAGGCCAGCUGAUCUUUUACAAAAGGGUAAACAUAUUCCUAAACAAAGGAAGUCAUUUUAAAAGAAGAAAAGAUCUGUCUGCAGGUAUGUGAGUACAGAGAAAAGAAAUGCGAAGGGCAGAGAAAAACAGUGGAAAUGGGGGGGUUAAAGGUUUAAAGUUAAAAAUCUGAAAAGAAAGGCCAUGUGGCAUCAGAGGCAGCAUAUCCAGAAGCAAGGAGACAUAACGGGAAGAAAUACAGGAAAGAGAGG